UACGGGAGGCAGCAGUGGGGAAUAUUGCACAAUGGGCGCAAGCCUGAUGCAGCCAUGCCGCGUGUAUGAAGAAGGCCUUCGGGUUGUAAAGUACUUUCAGUCGUGAGGAAGGUGUUAAGGUUAAUAACCUUAGCAAUUGACGUUAGCGACAGAAGAAGCACCGGCUAACUCCGUGCCAGCAGCCGCGGUAAUACGGAGGGUGCGAGCGUUAAUCGGAAUUACUGGGCGUAAAGGGCACGCAGGCGGUUAAUUAAGUUGGAUGUGAAAUCCCCGGGCUUAACCUGGGAAUGGCAUUCAAGACUGGUUAGCUAGAGUCUUGUAGAGGGGGUAGAAUUCCAUGUGUAGCGGUGAAAUGCGUAGAGAUGUGGAGGAAUACCGGGUGGCGAAGGCGGCCCCUGGGCAAAGGCUGACGCUCAUGUGCGAAAGCGUGGGGAGCAAACAGGGAUUAGAUACC
rnacentral:rRNA from 1 species